rnacentral:rRNA from 1 species
UGACCCCAAGUCAAGUGAGAGC